rnacentral:tRNA from 1 species
GAGGGUAUAGGUCAAGAGGUACAGUGCAUGCUUAGCACGCAGGAGGUCCUAGGUUCAAUCCCUAGUACCUCCU